rnacentral:rRNA from 1 species
GGAUAUCCCCCACACUGGUACUGAGACACGGACCAGACUCCUACGGGAGGCAGCAGUGAGGAAUAUUGGACAAUGGGAGCAAUCCUGAUCCAGCCAUGCCGCGUGCAGGAAGACAGUUCUAUGGAUUGUAAACUGCUUUUAUACAGGAAGAAAAAACAUAACGUGUUGUGUAUUGACGGUACUGUAUGAAUAAGAAUCGGCUAACUCCGUGCCAGCAGCCGCGGUAAUACGGAGGAUUCGAGCGUUAUCCGGAAUCAUUGGGUUUAAAGGGUUCGUAGGCGGGGCGAUAAGUCAGUGGUGAAAGUUGGUGGCUCAACCAUAAAAUUGCCAUUGAUACUGUUGUUCUUGAGUUAUUGUGAAGUGGUUAGAAUGUGUAGUGUAGCGGUGAAAUGCAUAGAUAUUACACAGAACACCAAUUGCGAAGGCAUAUCACUAACAAUAUACUGACGCUGAUGAACGAAAGCGUAGGUAGCGAACAGGAUUAGAUACCCUGGUAGUCUACGCUGUAAACGAUGGUUACUAGCUGUUCGGAUCAAUUGCGAUCUGAGUGGUUAAGCGAAAGUGAUAAGUAACCCACCUGGGGAGUACGUUUGCAAGAAUGAAACUCAAAGGAAUUGUCGGGGGCCCGCACAAGCGGUGGAGCAUGUGGUUUAAUUCGAUGAUACGCGAGGAACCUUACCAAGGCUUAAAUGCAUUUUGACAGGUCUAGAAAUAGAUUUUUCUUCGGACAAAUUGCAAGGUGCUGCAUGGUUGUCGUCAGCUCGUGCCGUGAGGUGUCAGGUUAAGUCCUAUAACGAGCGCAACCCCUGUGGUUAGUUACCAGCACAUAAUGGUGGGGACUCUAGCCAGACUGCCGGUGCAAACCGAGAGGAAGGUGGGGACGACGUCAAAUCAUCACGGCCCUUACGCCUUGGGCUACACACGUGCUACAAUGGUAUACACAAUGAGCAGCCAUCUGGCAACAGAGCGCAAAUCUAUAAAGUAUAUCACAGUUCGGAUCGGAGUCUGCAACUCGACUCUGUGAAGCUGGAAUCGCUAGUAAUCGCACAUCAGCCAUGGUGCGGUGAAUACGUUCCCGGGCAUUGUACACACCGCCCGUCAAGCCAUG